rnacentral:lncRNA from 1 species
AGGAAAGAAGAUUGUAGAAUCGGAGACUGACUCUGAUGGAUACCCUUAGUUGCAUUUUUUUCAUAUUUUUAUUUUUAUGCGGAAUGUAACUAAAUAACUAGUGUACUUAUUUUUGGACGGGUUUUAGACUUGUUCUUGUUUUAUUCUUAUUUUUUUAUUUUCUUGCAUAAUUUUCUUUGUGUGUUUGUUUGUUUUUCUAUGCAGCCAUCCAUUCAAAGAUUACACUACCGUUUCGAGCUUAAAUGUGAAGGUGGACAACCCUAGCUAGUGAUCAUGAACUGUCACACCAUUCAGGGAAGUCCGAUCACCUUCUAACCUUUUGUUUGGGCCAUAAACAUUGGGGCCAAUAUGUAAUUUAAGUGUGGGGGGAUGUACAUAAUUU